AUACGUAGGGGGCAAGCGUUAUCCGGAUUUACUGGGUGUAAAGGGCGCGUAGGCGGGGGUGCAAGUCAGAUGUGAAAUCUAUGGGCUUAACUCAUAAACUGCAUUUGAAACUGUAUCUCUUGAGUGCUGGAGAGGUAGACGGAAUUCCUAGUGUAGCGGUGAAAUGCGUAGAUAUAAGGAAGAACACCAGUGGCGAAGGCGGUCUACUGGACAGUAACUGACGCUGAGGCGCGAAAGCGUGGGGAGCAAACAGGAUUAGAUACCCUGGUAGUCCACGCUGUAAACGAUGAAUACUAGGUGUGGGGGGACUGACCCCCUCCGUGCCGCAGUUAACACAAUAAGUAAUCCACCUGGGGAGUACGGCCGCAAGGUUGAAACUCAAAUGAAUUGACGGGG
rnacentral:rRNA from 1 species